rnacentral:rRNA from 1 species
UACGUAGGGUGCAAGCGUUAUCCGGAAUUAUUGGGCGUAAAGAGCUCGUAGGCGGUUUGUCGCGUCUGCUGUGAAAACUGGGGGCUCAACCCCCAGCCUGCAGUGGGUACGGGCAGACUAGAGUGUGGUAGGGGAGACUGGAAUUCCUGGUGUAGCGGUGAAAUGCGCAGAUAUCAGGAGGAACACCGAUGGCGAAGGCAGGUCUCUGGGCUGUAACUGACGCUGAGGAGCGAAAGCAUGGGGAGCGAACAGG